CGAAAGGGCGACGGCGGAACGAUCUCCUCCAAGCUGUGUCCGGCAAAACGUCUUGUUUGGGGGGCAUCCUUCGGACCCUUGACGGUUGUAGCGAGUUUUCUGAGAGUAUCGCGCGUUAGGCAUCCGAUACGAGGAGAGUGGUCAGUCCUGACUUGGGUUCCCGGCAGGCUGGGAGCCUGCCCCACGUCUUGCUUCGAUAGG
rnacentral:misc_RNA from 1 species